GACGAACGCUGGCGGCGUGCUUAACACAUGCAAGUCGAGCGAUGAAGUUCCUUCGGGAAUGGAUUAGCGGCGGACGGGUGAGUAACACGUGGGUAACCUGCCUCAUAGAGGGGAAUAGCCUUUCGAAAGGAAGAUUAAUACCGCAUAAGAUUGUAGUAUCGCAUGGUACAGCAAUUAAAGGAGUAAUCCGCUAUGAGAUGGACCCGCGUCGCAUUAGCUAGUUGGUGAGGUAACGGCUCACCAAGGCGACGAUGCGUAGCCGACCUGAGAGGGUGAUCGGCCACAUUGGGUCUGAGACACGGCCCAGACUCCUACGGGAGGCAGCAGUGGGGGAUAUUGCACAAUGGGGGAAACCCUGAUGCAGCAACGCCGCGUGAGUGAUGACGGUCUUCGGAUUGUAAAACUCUGUCUUCAGGGACGAUAAUGACGGUACCUGAGGAGGAAGCCACGGCUAACUACGUGCCAGCCGCCGCGGUAA
rnacentral:rRNA from 1 species